CUCAGCACUCUCCACCCCGGUCUGUGGUUGCCACAGUCUCCUAAGUGCUGUGAGCUCCAGCGCUCACCCAGAGAUGGAAAGUUUGCUUCUCUUUCUACCCAGAUGAGGAGAUCGAAUCCCAGAGAGAGGAGGUGAUUUAUGUGAGGGUUUUGCGAGGCUGGAAGUCACGCCCACAGCCUCUUGCCAGGCAGCAGUGGGGGCCUCAGCCCCCAGGCCUCUGCCAGAGUGGCCCCAAACUGCUGACUUCAGCAUUUCACUGGCCAGGGCAGAUCAGAUUUCUUUUCUGGCACUUGGCCACCCUGCACACCCUUCCCCCAUCACUAUUUUGAGCUGAGCUCCCCUGUCCCCUCCUCCCAGGGCUGUGGCCCUCACACCCAAAGCCUCACUCCAGGCUGAGGCCUUUCCACCUCUUGACCCACCACCUUCCCUCCAGCCAGGGAAGGCUGGGCUGGUCACGGCCAUGUCUAUCCAGGCCUUGCCAGGGACGCCUUCAGACACAGAGCCAGGGGCCAGCUGCCCUGUGCAAAUGGCGCUGCUAGCUCAAGACAGCCGUCCAGGGUGCUCAGCACUGCCCAAGGAGGCGUCCUGGGACUGGACAGAGCCCACGCCAUGAUCAGCCCUGGCAUUGCCACCUCCUACCUGUGCGACCUCCACCCUGCCCUAACUUCUGCUGUCCACCUCACACCUCACCCUUUGCAGGCACUGCCACUCCUGGUGUCCCCUCCAGCUGCCAAAGGAUUCUGAGCCCCAGCCUGAGCCUAGUGCUACCAUAGAAGUGAGAGGUGUGGAGGGUGCACCUGACCGCAGCACACAGAGAGGCUUGUGGGAAACAAGAUGGCAGUAGGGGAAUUUCGUUUAAAUUUCGGGUGAAAUCUCUGAGUUUGGCAAGCUGGAGGUUGGGUCAGGGCAGGACAUGACCUAGGGAAGAUCAUGUCUCUCGCCUUUCCUGGAGCUAAGCGUGUGGUGCAAACCACAGAGUCCCCUGGAAGUUCAGGGAGAGGGCCUUCUCCAGGGCAAGGCGGCGGGUGGGUUCUUAUCUCCACACCAGCCAGCCUGGGACUCAGCAGUGGAGUGAGCUCCUGAGCAGUGCAUUAGCCCUCUCUGGGCCAGGGAGACCAGGGUGCCCCUGGAGCUUGCUCUUGAAGGGUACAUGGCUGUUCACUGGUGAAGUGUUGGGUACAGGGAACAGCAAGAAAAAGGCACAGAUGGGCAGCAUGUCACUUGCAGGGAGUGACUUUUCUUUAUUUGAGUGUAAGUGCUGUGGGUGGAAGGUCAGCUGGGGCCAGAAGGGGAAGGGGCCCGAAUGCCUUGCAUGUUUCAUCUCAGCUCUGCGGUGAGGCCCAAACCUGAAGUGGGCCUUCAUUUAAGUAUUUGGGGAGAUUCUGCCUGGCCCAACUCAGGCGGUGACUGCAGCAGGAGAGAGAGGUGCAGUCGGAAGAAAGGUCUUGCUGAGCAAACGGGACCCAAAGAGGGAUGUGCAAGAUCUGGAAACAACAAAUGGUUUUCAAACUCAAUAGUCCCCUCCAGCAAUCAGCAAACAGCAGGGUGGCUGCAGAUCUUCCAUCCACCCACUAAGGCAGCCAGCAAUCCCUGUCUCUGCAGUGGCGGAGGAAACCUCUGUCUUUUGCAAUCCCUGUGAUUCGGAAGCUUUCCACCCCUCUGGACCGGCCCCUCUUCCCCUCCCGCCCCUCCGCUCUGAUCCGUGUGGUUUGCUAAGGGAGGAAAGCCAGAGCAGGAAACAGAUAACUUAGGGAGUGGCUGUUCAUGUGAUUAAAAUGUCUUUGCUUUCCAAAAA
rnacentral:lncRNA from 1 species